AACGCGUGAGAAUCUGCCUUCUGGUCUGGGACAACAGAGGGAAACUUCUGCUAAUCCCGGAUAAGCCUACGGGUGAAAGAUUAAUUGCCUGGAGAUGAGCUCGCGUCUGAUUAGCUAGUUGGUAAGGUAAAAGCUUACCAAGGCGACGAUCAGUAGCUGGUCUGAGAGGAUGAGCAGCCACACUGGGACUGAGACACGGCCCAGACUCCUACGGGAGGCAGCAGUGGGGAAUUUUCCGCAAUGGGCGCAAGCCUGACGGAGCAAGACCGCGUGGGGGAGGAAGGCUCUAGGGUUGUAAACCCCUUUUCUUUGGGAAGAAGUUCUGACGGUACCAAAGGAAUCAGCCUCGGCUAACUCCGUGCCAGCAGCCGCGGUAAUACGGAGGAGGCAAGCGUUAUCCGGAAUGAUUGGGCGUAAAGCGUCCGCAGGUGGCCAUGUAAGUCUGCUGUCAAAACCCAGGGCUUAACUCUGGUUAGGCAGUGGAAACUACAAAGCUAGAGUCUGGUAGGGGCCAAGGGAAUUCCCGGUGUAGCGGUGAAAUGCGUAGAGAUCGGGAAGAACAUCGGUGGCGAAAGCGCUUGGCUAGACCAGAACUGACACUCAGGGACGAAAGCUAGGGGAGCGAAUGGGA
rnacentral:rRNA from 1 species